UACGUAGGGGGCAAGCGUUGUCCGGAUUUAUUGGGCGUAAAGAGCUCGUAGGCGGAUCUUUAAGUCAGGGGUGAAAUCCUGGAGCUCAACUCCAGAACUGCCUUUGAUACUGGGGAUCUCGAGUCCGGAAGAGGUGAGUGGAACUCCGAGUGUAGAGGUGAAAUUCGUAGAUAUUCGGAAGAACACCAGUGGCGAAGGCGGCUCACUGGUCCGGUACUGACGCUGAGGUGCGAAAGCGUGGGGAGCAAACAGG
rnacentral:rRNA from 1 species